GGGGCCGUAGCUCAAAUGGGAGAGCGUCUGCCUUGCAAGCAGAGGGUUGUCGGUUCAAAUCCGACCGGUCUCCACCA
rnacentral:tRNA from 1 species